rnacentral:rRNA from 1 species
AUCAAUAAGCGGAGGAAAGAAACUAACAAGGAUUCCCCCAGUAACGGCGAGUGAAGCGGGAACGGCUCAAAUUUGAAAUCUCCGUUGCUUGCAACGGCGAAUUGUAGUUUCGAGAUACACUUUCUAGGCGGAUCGGCCCUGUCUAAGUUGCUUGGAACAGCACGUCGAAGAGGGUGACAACCCCGUCUGCGACGGGGCCGGCCGCUCAUCGAUGGUGUUUUCGAAGAGUCGGGUUGUUUGGGAAUGCAGCCCAAAAUGGGUGGUAAACUCCAUCUAAAGCUAAAUACAGGCACGAGACCGAUAGCGAACAAGUACCGUGAGGGAAAGAUGAAAAGAACUUUGAAAAGAGAGUUAAAAAGUACGUGAAACCGUUAAAAGGGAAACGAACGGAGUUAGCAAUGCACCCUGCAAGAUUCAGCCGGCCGGUGGCUCGGACGCGAGGUUUGCGGAUCCGAACGGACCGCUUCCGCGCGCUUCGGGUUCCCGAGCGUCGCACUUCUUGCGGGUGCGCGUCAACAUCGGUUCGGAGCGGGUUUGAAAGGUGUCGGGAAGGUAGGUCUCCUGCUUCGGCUCCAGACUGUUACAGCCCGGCGUUCGAUGGCUCGCUCCGGACCGAGGAGUCGCAGCGCAUGCCUCUCGUGGCUAGGGUCUCGUCGCGCCUUUCGGUUGUCGACCGUCGUGGACUGCUUGCAGUGCGCGCAAACUGCUGCCGGUCGCCGCGGCGACGACUCCGUACUAUGCGCUCAGGAUGUUGGCGGUCAUAUGGCUUCGUCCGACCCGUCUUGAAACACGGACCAAGGAGUCUAACAUGUGCGCGAGUCUUAGGGUGACGGAAACCCCGAGGCAGAAUGAAAGUGAAGGCAGCCUGGCUGCUGAGGCGAGAACCUCUCCCCCGUUCGCGGGCGGCGAGGCGCAUCGUUGACCGAUCUAUUCUACUCUUAGGAAGAUUUGA